rnacentral:rRNA from 1 species
UACAGAGGGUGCAAGCGUUAAUCGGAAUUACUGGGCGUAAAGCGCGCGUAGGUGGUUUUGUUAAGUUGGAUGUGAAAUCCCCCGGGCUCAACCUGGGAACUGCAUUCAAAACUGACAAGCUAGAGUAUGGUAGAGGGUGGUGGAAUUUCCUGUGUAGCGGUGAAAUGCGUAGAUAUAGGAAGGAACACCAGUGGCGAAGGCGACCACCUGGACUGAUACUGACACUGAGGUGCGAAAGCGUGGGGGAGCAAACAGG